GUCUCUCUCACUUGGUAGAGCAUGGCACUUGCCAUGCCAGGGUUAUGGGUUCGAUUCCCAUGGGGGACC
rnacentral:tRNA from 1 species